GACGAACGCUGGCGGCGUGCCUAACACAUGCAAGUCGAACGAAGCAUUUAAAGCGGAGACUUCGGUCAAAGCUUUUUAUGACUUAGUGGCGGACGGGUGAGUAACACGUGAGUAACCUGCCUCUCAGUGGGGAAUAACACACCGAAAGGUGUGCUAAUACCGCAUAACGUAGUUUUACCGCAUGAUAGAACUACCAAAGAUUUAUCGCUGAGAGAUGGGCUCGCGUCCAAUUAGCUAGAUGGUGAGGUAACGGCCCACCAUGGCGACGAUCAGUAGCCGGUCUGAGAGGAUGAACGGCCACAUUGGGACUGAGAUACGGCCCAGACUCCUACGGGAGGCAGCAGUGGGGAAUAUUGGGCAAUGGGGGAAACCCUGACCCAGCAACGCCGCGUGAAGGAAGAAGGCCCUUCGGGUUGUAAACGUUCUUUAGUUAGGUACGAAUACGUAGACGGUACCGUAC
rnacentral:rRNA from 1 species